UUGCUGCCGCAAUUGUUGUUGCUGCAGUUGUUGUUGCUGCUGCAAUUGUUGUUGGUGCUGCAAUUGUUGUUGCUGCUGCAAUUGUUGUUGCUGCUGCAA